GACGAACGCUGGCGGCGCGCCUAACACAUGCAAGUCGAACGGAGCUGAGAGAAGCUUGCUUUUCUUAGCUUAGUGGCGAACGGGUGAGUAACGCGUGAGUAACCUGCCCUGGAGUGGGGACCACCGGUGGAAAACACUGCCAAUACCGCAUUAGCCCAAGAACCCGCCAUGGGAUUGGGGGAAAAGAUUUAUUCGCUUCAGGAUGGACUCGCGUCCAAUUAGCUAGUUGGUGAGGUAACGGCCCACCAAGGCGACGAUUGGUAGCCGGACUGAGAGGUUGAACGGCCACAUUGGGACUGAGACACGGCCCAGACUCCUACGGGAGGCAGCAGUGGGGGAUAUUGCACAAUGGGGGAAACCCUGAUGCAGCGACGCCGCGUGGAGGAAGAAGGUUUUCGGAUUGUAAACUCCUGUCGUUAGGGACGAUAAUGACGGUACCUAACAAGAAAGCACCGGCUAACUACGUG
rnacentral:rRNA from 1 species